AGCAUGUGCCGCGGUGCUGGUUCACCCUGCCCGCCAGGUGGGGUGUCGCAAGAGGGAACCCGGUGUGAAACCGGGACUGCCCCGCAGCGGUGAGUGGGAACGACCGCCGUCAUCGAGCACUGGGCCGCCCAUGCGGCCUGGGAAGCGACGGCCAAUAGGUGGCUGGAACACAUCCGCGCCCACGAGUCCGAAGACCUGCCGGCACUGCGCACACCGG
rnacentral:ncRNA from 1 species